GGAGACGGCGGGGAGAAGGAGAAGGGCAAGGCUCCGGAGGUCAGGCUCUCCAGUCUGGCCCUUCCUCUUCUUUUCCUCUCUCC
ensembl:miRNA aca-mir-5427 aca-mir-5427